rnacentral:rRNA from 1 species
CCUACGGGAGACUGCAGUGAGGAAUAUUGGUCAAUGGGCGGAAGCCUGAACCAGCCAAGUAGCGUGCAGGAUGACGGCCCUACGGGUUGUAAACUGCUUUUAUACGGGAAUAACGCGCCUUACAUGUAGGGCUUUGCAUGUACCGUAUGAAUAAGGACCGGCUAAUUCCGUCACAGCAGCCGCGGUAAUACGGAAGGUCCGGGCGUUAUCCGGAUUUAUUGGGUUUAAAGGGAGCGUAGGCCGCAUGUCAAGCGUGCUGUGAAAUGUCCGGGCUCAACCCGGGCCUUGCAGCGCGAACUGGCGUGCUUGAGUCCGCGGAAAGCAGGCGGAAGUCGUCGUGUAGCGGUGAAAUGCUUAGAUAUGACGAAGAACCCCGAUUGCGAAGGCAGCUUGCUGCAGCGGAACUGACGCUGAUGCUCGAAAGCGCGGGUAUCGAACAGGAUUAGAUACCCCGGUAGUC